UAUAUUUGAAAGUACAUUUAGGUUAUUUUCUUCAAUUUGACGACUUUGGUAAUACAGAGAAUAUUAUAGUCGUGCCCAUGUCAUACGCUAUGUUUACGACGCUCGUGCCUAAAUAUCGGUAAUAC